CACCUGCCCGCCGGGGGACGUGUCCUCACCAGCUCUGACACCACGGCUCGUGCAUCAGGCAGCGGGCCGGCCUGGGUGAGAUCAGCGUGAGAGGGAAGCCGGUGUUCUCGGCGCCCGAGUCCCCAGCUGUUGUAUCAGUGUGGUCACAGAAGGAUGCAUGGGAACGGGCGGUGGUCCUUCUGCUCAAUUUAACUGGCUUUACGGCUCUGAUUUUAUAAGGGGUUGAUGCUGGAAAGGCAAGGACUCAAGCGUAUCUUUAAAUCUAGAACUGAACCCUAGAUUAAAAAUUAAUGUAUGAUCAGUAUCAAAAUACUCAACAGAGACAACUUCAGAUGAGAAAAGAAAAAUCACUCAGAUCUUACUGUUAAUAAUCAUAAUUAGCAUCUUGGUUAAAAAACCCUUCCAGAUUAAUUUUUGGCCAUGAAAAUAUACAGAGGUGCUGUCAAGGAAACCACAACUUAUUUUUUACCAGCUUGAACAUCUGGAAGCUCACGGUUCACGUAUUGCUGAAGUGGUGCGUGGCGCAGGAGUGGCUGAGAGGAGGACCCCACAUCCCAGGUCAGGAGUGGCGGCCAAGAGGAACGCACUGGUCAUAACAAACACCCUCUUCCAACAACACAAGAGAAGACUCUACACGUGGACAUCACCAGAUGGUCAACACCAAAAUCAGACUGAUUGUAUUCUUUGCAGCCAAAGAUGGAGAUUAUGUCACAGUAUGACUUUAUAAGGCAUCCAGGUUGUAAAACGGUCAGAGGAAACGCAAGCUCACCUGCAUGUGCUCUGCUCAGUGACAGUAGACCUCAGCACUCGGGAGUCAGGCGCCUGUGAUUUUAACUGAGUGGAACUGUUUCAUGCAGAGUUCAGUUACUUCUGUCAUUUCUCACAUCCGUAUCCUUCUGGAGUCCUCUCUGGGUCCUCCUACGACAAUAUUAUUAAAAACACGAUGUGUAUAAUUUCAUAACGCUCUCCAUGCUACUUAAUAAUAAUUAGCACAUAUUUUGGCAUAUGUGCUUUUCUGUUCAUUGUUUUAUAUCAAUUCAUAUUAUGUUUCCCUGUAUCUUGAUUUUUAAAAAU
rnacentral:lncRNA from 1 species